rnacentral:rRNA from 1 species
GUAACCUGCCCUCGACUCCAGGAUAAGCCCGGGAAACUGGGUCUAAUACUGGAUAUUCAAUUUCUACCGCAUGGUGGUUUUUGGAAAGGAUUCUGGUCGAGGAGGGACUCGCGGCCUAUCAGCUUGUUGGUGAGGUAAUGGCUCACCAAGGCGACGACGGGUAGCCGGCCUGAGAGGGUGACCGGCCACACUGGGACUGAGACACGGCCCAGACUCCUACGGGAGGCAGCAGUGGGGAAUAUUGCACAAUGGGCGAAAGCCUGAUGCAGCGACGCCGCGUGAGGGAUGACGGCCUUCGGGUUGUAAACCUCUUUCAGUAGGGAAGAAGCGAAAGUGACGGUACCUGCAGAAGAAGCGCCGGCUAACUACGUGCCAGCAGCCGCGGUAAUACGUAGGGCGCAAGCGUUAUCCGGAAUUAUUGGGCGUAAAGAGCUCGUAGGCGGUUUGUCGCGUCUGCCGUGAAAGUCCGGGGCUUAACUCCGGAUCUGCGGUGGGUACGGGCAGACUAGAGUGCUGUAGGGGAGACUGGAAUUCCUGGUGUAGCGGUGAAAUGCGCAGAUCAGGAGAAACACCGAUGGCGAAGGCAGGUCUCUGGGCAGUAACUGACGCUGAGGAGCGAAAGCAUGGGGAGCGAAACAGGAUUAGAUACCCUGGUAGUCCAUGCCGUAAACGUUGGGCACUAGAUGUGGGGGACAUUCCACGUUUUCCGCGUCGUAGCUAACGCAUUAAGUGCCCCGCCUGGGGAGUACGGCCGCAAGGCUAAAACUCAAAGGAAUUGACGGGGGCCCGCACAAGCGGCGGAGCAUGCGGAUUAAUUCGAUGCAACGCGAAGAACCUUACCAAGGCUUGACAUGGACCGGAUCGGGCUAGAAAUAGUCUUUCCCUUCGGGGCUGGUUCACAGGUGGUGCAUGGUUGUCGUCAGCUCGUGUCGUGAGAUGUUGGGUUAAGUCCCGCAACGAGCGCAACCCUCGUUCUAUGUUGCCAGCACGUGAUGGUGGGGACUCAUAGGAGACUGCCGGGGUCAACUCGGAGGAAGGUGGGGACGACGUCAAAUCAUCAUGCCCCUUAUGUCUUGGGCUUCACGCAUGCUACAAUGGCCGGUACAAUGGGUUGCGAUACUGUGAGGUGGAGCUAAUCCCAAAAAGCCGGUCUC